UUGCUUUGCGGCUGAUCCAAUGCUGCAUUGAAUAUGGGAACUUUGAUUUCGUCUAUUUCAUCUAUGAAGAUGGUGGUGGGAUGCGGGCCGCGAGCCGAGGUC
rnacentral:rRNA from 1 species